GUUUUGCUGUCGACUGCGUGUGUUUUCAGCACCAGUAAAGUCUUGCUAUUACAGGAUCAGAGUCGUUGUAGACUGGGAGGCAAUAAAAACUAUCAGGCCCGUUCGUGCUGUGUUGGGUUCAGCCCAGUUACAAGACAAAGGAAGAGGAGAUGGAUACAAGAAGUCGAGAAGAUGCCCUUCUCUCUGUUUCUAAAUUACAGAGUACCUCGCCUGGAUCUGGAGGUGCAGUUACGGCGAACUCGACAUAGUCAAGGAUGGGAAAGAACCAUGGAAAUAAGAAAGGUAGGACGGUGUGGCUCGCAAGUUCAGCCACUAUACAUUCUUAUUUGUUCUUGCGCCUAUCUCCUCACCCUCCCACUCUUCCUCUAUCUGUCAUCUCUCUUUCUUUUCUCUCCCUUGCUAAUUUUCUAUCUGAUUGAACAUGGAUAGCUGACUCUGAGAUGUGCGAGCAGUAGAUAAAGACUGCCUGGUAUGGAAUUGAUUGCCAGUAUUAAUUUCUUGCUGAUUGAUACACACGUGGAUAUAGAAAAUGUACCAGCCAUCUAUACAUUCAGUUAUACAAAAGAUAUACCAACCAUCUAUGCGUUCGGUUAUACUAUACCUUCUUGUUUUGCUUGCUAAUGUGAUUGCUUGGUAUUUAUAUUAUGACAAACCAUGCUGGGUCCAUGCUAACAACAUCCUCUUGGUUCGAAUUUAACUUUUACCAGGGCUCAGGUGGUAAGCACAUUGAAAGGAUCGACGGUUGACAACCCGAUCUAUCUCAGUGACCAUGAAGGUAGAGGCCAGAGGUUAAGAGCCUGUUUGGAUUCCUUCCAUAAAAAGCAGCCUAAGCCAGGCACAAACCUUAGGCGUCCGAUUUUGGAGGCCUGAGGCUGAGAUCUCUGCCUGAGUAAAGACCUGCCUGAUAGGCCUCAAUCCAAACACCCCCUAAGAUUGUGUAGUGAACCAUGCCUUUGUGAGAGGACCAAGACAAAAGUUCAAUGCUGCAUCGUUUGCUUGCUUCCUUUGCUCGGUUCGAGAUCCAGGCCGGGAGUAGGCUAGGACCAGUGAUAAGAACGUCAGGGUGUUGCGUCAUGGCUGUAUACAUGUGUUGAAAGCAUUGAGCUUAAUUUAGAUAUGUAGGUGCAAUUCCUUUUCGUGUAUAAGAUAAUGGGUUUAUAUAUAGGCUGUCCAUGAUGGAAGUUGAAGUUACUAUAA